rnacentral:rRNA from 1 species
GUGGGGAAUCUUGCGCAAUGGGCGAAAGCCUGACGCAGCCAUGCCGCGUGAAUGAUGAAGGUCUUAGGAUUGUAAAAUUCUUUCACCGGGGACGAUAAUGACGGUACCCGGAGAAGAAGCUCCGGCUAACUUCGUGCCAGCAGCCGCGGUAAUACGAAGGGGGCUAGCGUUGCUCGGAAUUACUGGGCGUAAAGGGCGCGUAGGCGGACAGCUUAGUCAGAGGUGAAAGCCCAGGGCUCAACCUUGGAAUUGCCUUUGAUACUGGCUGUCUUGAGUUUGGGAGAGGUGAGUGGAACUCCGAGUGUAGAGGUGAAAUUCGUAGAUAUUCGGAAGAACACCAGUGGCGAAGGCGACUCACUGGCCCAAUACUGACGCUGAGGCGCGAAAGCGUGGGGAGCAAACAGGAUUAGAUACCCCGGUAGUC